CCUUUCUCCUUUUUUUUUUUUUUUUUUUUUUUUUUUAUGAAUGGACUGGAUGCCCGGUGACACAUUAACCGCGUUUUUUCUUCUUGGAAAAAGCCAGCCGGCGUGCCAUGGGUUCAAACCGAGUUUAAGCAACAGUUCUCUCCACUCCUGGCGGGCCAGGGAAGGAAGAGAAGUCCGUGUCCCCGGUCCCCUUCCCCCCCGCGGGCCGGGCCGGCCGGGCUGGCAGGUCCUGAGAGAGGGGCAGAGGGGGCGGUGAGCGCUCCCCUGAGGCUGCCCGGGGUGGGCGAGGCGGCGGCUCUCGCUGGCCGGGAGGCUCCAGUCCCGGCGGGUGGCGGCCACAGGGAAAACCGCCACCAAGGCCCGGGGGCCAGCUGGAGGAGCUUCGGUGCCGGGGGAUCCCCCAAGGCGCCCGGGGAGGGGCAUCCUCGAGGGCUGUGGCAAGGCAAGGUCUGGAACCCUCCGGCCCUUGGCUGGACGGAGCCGGCUCCGCUCGCCUCGGGUUCUGUAUCUCUCCACCUGCCCUCUAAAGUCUUAAAUGACAGCUAAAUUGGGAGCAUCCGUACACUGUUCUGCAUGUGAGUAACUCCACUGAAAAGAAGAGAAUUACCUACUCAGCUGGGUCCUGGCCAAAGCACUGAGCCUAUGAAGUAUUGAAUUCUCAGUGAAAAUAAGCUGUCUUGGUUGGAGUGAGAGAGACUUUUGUAAAUAGGAGAGUAUUAUAUUUCAUGCAGCUCUGUUAUUCCAUUAUUUAGUUAUGCCAAUUAAUGCAUUAAUGUUCCAUCAAUUUUUAAUUUUUUUUUUUACUUCUCACGAAGUUCAUGCAUUUAGGAAAGUGUUCAAUCUGUCAAACAGUAUAAUUCCAGAUAAUUAUAUUCUGUUUUAAAGGACAUACACGCUUGCAAUAAAACAACAUUCAAACAUCUGGCAUCUACAGUAGAUUUUUGGGAUUGCUUUACAAUUUACACUCCAAGAAUCCUGCUCAAUUUCAAUGGAAGCAUCUGUACUGAUGUUACUGCACAAAUAUUACCUUAUACAUUGUCACAAAUCAAAAUACAGUAAUUACUUCUCGAAUUCUAAUAUGGAUGUAGCACCUAUUCUAAUCUUUAGUAAAUACAAGAUACUUUGUUAUAAAAUAAUUCUGUAUGAAAUUGUGACUUUUAUGCUUCUAUUUAAAACAUUCAUUACUAGACUGAUGGAAGUUUAAACAUUUUGCUUUGAGGAUGAAGAAAAAACUCUAACUUUCUGUUUUUUAAAUUCAGAGUUCAUAUUUUUGUAGAGAUAUUUAUCUUUACAGACUAUACAUUUAGACACUAAAGACUGUGUAUGUCAUGUAUAUUUUACCAGUUCUUGUUUGGAGUGGCUUGCUUUUGGCUAUAUUGUAAAAUAUAAAAAAGUGGACCAAAAUCAAGUAAAUAUACCCUGCAAACACUUUCCCACAUUAAAACAUUUUUUUUCCAUAAAUAUGGAAUGUUGUCUUUCAGUGGGUAGGAUAAACAGUAUUCUGCUUCAAUCUAUGUAAAAUUUCUGUGUCCAUUUUAACCUAUCAGGUAAUGUAGAAUUUUAUUCUACAGGUGAGCUGAGAAUCUCUAAGGCAUUACUUGUUAUACAUACUCAGUCACACAGAAAUAUACCCAGGAACUGCCACUGGACAGCUGUUGUUUAAAUUGCUAUAUGGAAAAGCUAUUUUGGAUAAUAUGAAGAGGAUUAUAUUGUGUUGAUACGUGGUUUUUUUUCCUUCCAUCAGUAAGUAAAAUAGUUAGGUAGAAGGAUCUAUGGUACUAAGUACUACUUCAAGUGUGCAAGAAAAAGUGCUUGAAAAAUAUUGUGAAUAAAUUCCAAGUUGUCUCACAAGUGGGAUAAAUGACACAAUUUUCUGCAUUAUGGACAAAAUAAUUUUCUGUGAAAGACUUUUUCAAAGCCAACCCUGGAGGGCAGUCUGUUCAGGAAAACAAACCUGAAAAAGAGAGAAUUAUGAAGCAUAUAACUGGUGCACCAUCUCUUGUAUAGGCACCUUUCUGCCCAUACACUGGAGUCAGUUCUGUAUUAAAGGAAAAAAAAAUCCUAAGGAAAGUAAAUAAUUGCUUUUGCUUUGGGAAGUUCUGGAGAUUUUAAUGCCAUUUGCUGUUGAAAGCAGAGGAAGGACUGAUGCUCCAAGGACACACUACAAAGUUUGGCCUAAUAAAUGUGAAUGGAUAUACAGUGCUUGAUUGUUCUUUCACACCAAUGAAACUCCAUGGACUGAAAUUAGGCACACUAAUUACACAAUAUACUUCUGUAAAUGAUUUGUAACUCUGAAGUGAAUGAACUGCAAUAUAACCCAAGGCACAAUGUGCAUGUGCAGCCUGGCCCCUCAGGCAUGUGUUAAUAGUAACACAGCUUGUCAUCAUGUGUUUUUAAAUUUUUAAAUCUAAAUAAAAUAUAACACUGCAUGUAAUAAGUACUUUAAAUGGCAGAUGUGUAAUAAACAUCUCUAUUUAUGACAGACUUAAGCAGCAAAACAUAAUGAGGUGUGGUUCUGGUACAAAUUUUGCUUCAGGUUCACUUUGUACUUUUAACCACCUUCAUUAAUUACACAGCUAAGAUCAUGCCCUGGAGAGCUUUAAUUUUCUUGUGAUUAUAUAAUGGUCUCUUACUGAUAUCAUUAUUCAAAAAAAUAAAUAAAAGAUUAGGAGUGUUUUCAGACAUAGCUUUUAAGUAUAAAGAUUUGUUAAACAUAUUUUUACCAAAUCUGAGCCACAACUGAAAACAUCUAAAGAUGUUUCUUUGCCUUAGGUAACCAUGCAACUUUUCCUCUGUGUUUGCACUACCCUUUCUUAUAUAUAUGAUUUUUGAAUGACUGCCAUCACCCUUUUUUCUGUAUACCAGAAAUGUCUUCAUCUUCAUAAUGGCCCUGGAAGAUAGGGAAUACUCACAUCUGUGUUUUCCUGAUAGGGCACAGAUUUUCAUUCUUGCUUGGCUAAGUGGGAGGUAGGUAUCCAAACACUUCCAAGUUGUUGUGUGUAUGUGGUUUGCCCUAGGUCAGGCAAGAAUGAACAGGAAUUGUCUCCAUUUCCUGAGUUCCCAACUGAUGCUAUAAGCUAUAAGCCCUGGACCUUCCUUUGCACUGCAUA